GUGAUCAUUCCAGCAGCACAUAUACUUCAAUUGUAGUGACACAAAGAAGAUUAACAUGGCCCUGUGCAAGGACAGCAUGCAAAGUCAGAAAAUGUUAAAAUGUUCU